GAUGAACGCUAGCGGCAGGCCUAACACAUGCAAGUCGAGGGGCAGCAUAAAAUAAACUUGUUUAUUUGGUGGCGACCGGCGCACGGGUGCGUAACGCGUAUGCAACCUACCUUACACAGGGGGAUAGCCCGGAGAAAUUCGGAUUAAUACCCCAUAGCACUGUUGAUUGGCAUCAAUUGAUAGUUAAAGCUUUGGCGAUGUAAGCUGGGCAUGCGUCCUAUUAGCUAGUUGGUGAGGUAACGGCUCACCAAGGCUACGAUAGGUAGGGGGCCUGAGAGGGUGGUCCCCCACACUGGUACUGAGACACGGACCAGACUCCUACGGGAGGCAGCAGUGAGGAAUAUUGGUCAAUGGGCGCAAGCCUGAACCAGCCAUGCCGCGUGAAGGAUGAAGGUUCUAUGGAUUGUAAACUUCUUUUAUUUGGGAACAAACCUCUUUACGUGUAGAGAGCUGAAGGUACCAAAUGAAUAAGCACCGGCUAACUCCGUGCCAGCAGCCGCAGUAACAC
rnacentral:rRNA from 1 species